rnacentral:lncRNA from 1 species
CAAGCCUUACAUUCAUCCAUUUCUCCAUUCGUUUGUUUUUCCUUCUCAUCACGUUUAUUAAAGGCCUACAAUAUUGCAUGUGCUCAGGAAACAGGAAAACCAUCAUUACUUUUGGGACUUUCACGGGUCGCCAUUCAUAGUGCACAGAGCAGCAGCUGAAGGUGGAGGAGGAAACGGUUUAGUUUCUCGUUUCUCUUUGCAGCCGUCGCUCCCCUCAUCUUCCCCAAGUACAGCGUUAAAUUGUGCAUAAAAUAAAUAUAAGCAGUACAUAAGAAAUAAGAGCAAUCGUUUGGACUGGAACUGUUUAAGAGUUUAGGAAAUACAAUAAUUUCCCCACGGUGUGAGCUGAAUGAUGAGGACUUUGGAAGAUUAAUCAAGGGGAGACAGCUAAUCAAAACAGCAGGCCAUCGUGAGGUGCCGUGUAGGUAGAGGAAGAGAAGCCGGGAAGAUCGGAGAGGAAGCUCCUGUUGGAAAAUUCUACAGAACCCAUUUUCAGAGGAAAGACCAGGAUCACACCAGCAGGUUACAUUCCCACAGGUCCAACCCGAAAUUCAAGUAUUGCAUCUUAAAAACUGAGGGGAUGACAUUGUUCACCCUGUUUUCUGGGAGUUUUGACCUAUCUCCAGAAACACCACUUUAUUGUGAUUCUUUUCAUUCGCAAGCUUCUCUCACUGCUCACAUCCCUAAUUUCAGCAUUUGGAUUGGUUUGAGGGAAAGAAGGCAAGAAAAAGGAUGCUUCCAGUUCAGUAUUUUACCACUGUCCCCCUUUCCGAGCCAUCACUGCAGACCUGAGGGAAAGAGCUUUCUUGUUACCGUGUUUCCCGUUUUCAGAGACCUGCAGUCGCCGGUACUCCACAUUCAUCCAUUCAUCCAUAAGCCAUUAGCCUUAUGCUGAUCACAAAGGUAAGGAGCAGACCAAACACACACCAGAACCAG